rfam:Ictidomys tridecemlineatus contig104044, whole genome shotgun sequence.
GCUGUAGCUCAGUGGCAGAGCGCUUGCCUAACAUGUAUGAGGCCCUGGGUUUGAUUCUCAGUACCGCA